UACGGGGGGGGUAAGCGUUGUUCGGAAUUACUGGGCGUAAAGGGCUCGUAGGCGGCCAACUAAGUCAUACGUGAAAUCCCUCAGCUUAACUGGGGAACUGCGUGUGAUACUGGAUGGCUUGGAUUUGGGAGAGGGAUGCGGAAUUCCAGGUGUAGCGGUGAAAUGCGUAGAUAUCUGGAGGAACACCGGUGGCGAAGGCGGCAUCCUGGACCGACAUUGACGCUGAUGAGCGAAAGCUAGGGGAGCAAACGGG
rnacentral:rRNA from 1 species